CUAUCCUCAAUUGAUCAAGAGAUUCCUUGAAGAAGAGCCUCAAAAUUUAGAGUGAGAAAGUGUAGACUUUGGUAAGAACUUGGGCCCGAGCGAGACGAAGAAGUAAGUUGCCUGAUUUCUUUCCAGAAUAAGCGAAGGACUUCAGGCUAAGCUGGGAGUGAGAUUGGACUGGUGCUGAUGGGGGAGAGUUUCAAAUGAUGUAAAUUAAAUUACUAUUUUGCCUCUAUGAUAAUAGAGUCUUGAUGUUUGAAUUACUUAGUUUCUUUUGGGAUCAAGCAAUACACUCACGGUUAUGUGUCUUCAUACAUAUAAUCGGUUCGCCUUUUGCUGCGAUACUCUGCAAAUUAUGCUUCCUUAUGAAAAAUGAACUAUACCCGUUUUGUUUUU